rnacentral:rRNA from 1 species
AGUGAACGCUGGCGGCGUGCCUAAUACAUGCAAGUCGAACGGAGUGGCGCACGGGGGAGUAAUAUAUAGCUACUAUGCCCCUUGCUGGGGGACAACAGAUAGAAAUAACUGCUAAUACUCCAUACAGCGAUGAGACUAUAUCGUAUCAGCUAGUCGGUGGGGUAACGGCCUACCGAGGCUAUGACGCGUAACUGGUCUGAGAGGAUGAUCAGUCACAUUGGAACUGAGACACGGUCCAAACUCCUACGGGAGGCAGCAGUAGGGAAUCUUCGGCAAUGGGCGGAACUCUGACCGAGCAACGCCGCGUGAGUGAAGACGGUUUUCGGAUUGUAAAGCUCUGUUGUUAAGGAAGCGGUACUGAACCAGAAAGGGACGGCUAACUACGUGCCAGCAGCCGCGGUAAUAC